UACGGAGGGUGCAAGCGUUAUCCGGAUUUACUGGGUUUAAAGGGUGCGCAGGCGGAUAUGUAAGUCAGUGGUGAAAUCUCUGGGCUUAACCCGGAAAUUGCCAUUGAUACUAUAUAUCUUGAAUGUUGUGGAGGUAAGCGGAAUAUGUCAUGUAGCGGUGAAAUGCUUAGAUAUGACAUAGAACACCUAUUGCGAAGGCAGCUUACUACGCAGAUAUUGACGCUCAUGCACGAAAGCGUGGGGAGUCAAACAGG
rnacentral:rRNA from 1 species